AGAGUUUGAUCCUGGCUCAGGAUGAACGCUGGCGGCGUGCCUAACACAUGCAAGUCGAACGGAGUAAUUAAGCGGAAGUCUUCGGAUGGAAGCUUAGCUACUUAGUGGCGGACGGGUGAGUAACGCGUGGGCAACCUGCCCUGUACCGGGGGAUAACACUUAGAAAUAGGUGCUAAUACCGCAUAAGCGCACGGUCUCGCAUGAGACAGUGUGAAAAACUCCGGUGGUACAGGAUGGACCCGCGUCUGAUUAGCUAGUUGGUGGGGUAGAGGCCUACCAAGGCGACGAUCAGUAGCCGGCCUGAGAGGGUGACCGGCCACAUUGGGACUGAGACACGGCCCAAACUCCUACGGGAGGCAGCAGUGGGGAAUAUUGCACAAUGGGGGAAACCCUGAUGCAGCGACGCCGCGUGAGUGAAGAAGUAUUUCGGUAUGUAAAGCUCUAUCAGCAGGGAAGAAAAUGACGGUACCUGACUAAGAAGCCCCGGCUAACUACGUGCCAGCAGCCGCGGUAAUACGUAGGGGGCAAGCGUUAUCCGGAUUUACUGGGUGUAAAGGGAGCGUAGACGGCAGGGCAAGUCUGAAGUGAAAGCCCGGGGCUCAACCCCGGGACUGCUUUGGAAACUGUCCGGCUGGAGUGCAGGAGAGGUAAGUGGAAUUCCUAGUGUAGCGGUGAAAUGCGUAGAUAUUAGGAGGAACACCAGUGGCGAAGGCGGCUUACUGGACUGUAACUGACGUUGAGGCUCGAAAGCGUGGGGAGCAAACAGGAUUAGAUACCCUGGUAGUCCACGCCGUAAACGAUGAUUACUAGGUGUCGGGGGCUAUUAGACCUUCGGUGCCGCAGCAAACGCAAUAAGUAAUCCACCUGGGGAGUACGUUCGCAAGAAUGAAACUCAAAGGAAUUGACGGGGACCGCACAAGCGGUGGAGCAUGUGGUUUAAUUCGAAGCAACGCGAAGAACCUUACCAAGUCUUGACAUCCCAAUGACAGCAUAUGUAAUGUAUGUUCCCUUCGGGGCAUUGGAGACAGGUGGUGCAUGGUUGUCGUCAGCUCGUGUCGUGAGAUGUUGGGUUAAGUCCCGCAACGAGCGCAACCCUUAUCUUUAGUAGCCAGCAGUAAGAUGGGAACUCUAGAGAGACUGCCGGGGAUAACCCGGAGGAAGGUGGGGAUGACGUCAAAUCAUCAUGCCCCUUAUGAUUUGGCUACACACGUGCUACAAUGGCGUGAACAGAGGGAAGCGAAGGGGUGACCUGGAGCAAAUCCCAAAAAACACGUCUCAGUUCGGAUUGUAGUCUGCAACUCGACUACAUGAAGCUGGAAUCGCUAGUAAUCGCGAAUCAGAAUGUCGCGGUGAAUACGUUCCCGGGUCUUGUACACACCGCCCGUCACACCAUGGGAGUCGGAAAUGCCCGAAGUCUGUGACCUAACCCGCAAGGGAGGAGCAGCCGAAGGCAGGUCUGAUAACUGGGGUGAAGUCGUAACAAGGUAGCCGUAUCGGAAGGUGCGGCUG
rnacentral:rRNA from 1 species